rnacentral:rRNA from 1 species
AGAGUUUGAUUCUGGCUCAGGAUGAACGCUGGCGGCGUGCCUAACACAUGCAAGUCGAGCGAAGCACUUUGAUUGGAUUCUUCGGAUGAAGAUGAUUGUGACUGAGCGGCGGACGGGUGAGUAACGCGUGGGCAACCUGCCUUACACAGGGGGAUAACAGUUAGAAAUGACUGCUAAUACCGCAUAAGACCGCGGAACCGCAUGGUUCUGAGGUAAAAACUCCGGUGGUGUAAGAUGGGCCCGCGUCUGAUUAGGUAGUUGGUGAGGUAACGGCUCACCAAGCCGACGAUCAGUAGCCGACCUGAGAGGGUGACCGGCCACAUUGGGACUGAGACACGGCCCAGACUCCUACGGGAGGCAGCAGUGGGGAAUAUUGCACAAUGGGGGAAACCCUGAUGCAGCGACGCCGCGUGAGCGAUGAAGUAUUUCGGUAUGUAAAGCUCUAUCAGCAGGGAAGAAAAUGACGGUACCUGACUAAGAAGCCCCGGCUAACUACGUGCCAGCAGCCGCGGUAAUACGUAGGGGGCAAGCGUUAUCCGGAUUUACUGGGUGUAAAGGGAGCGUANACGGUCCUGCAAGCCAAAUGUGAAAGCCCGGGGCUCAACCCCGGGACUGCAUUUGGA